AUUGAACGCUGGCGGCGUGCCUAAUACAUGCAAGUCGAACGGAGUGGCGCACGGGUGAGUAAUAUAUAGCGAAUCUGCCCCUAGCUGGAGGACAACAGUUAGAAAUGACUGCUAAUACUCCAUAGGAAGGGAUGAGACUAUAUCGCAUCAGCUAGUCGGUGGGGUAACGGCCGACCGAGGCUAUGACGCGUAACUGGUCUGCGAGGAUGAGCAGCCACAUUCGAACGGAGACACGGUUCAAACACCUUCGGGAGGCAGCAGUAGUGAAUAUUACUCAAUGCGCGAGUCCCUAAAGCGGCAACGGGGCGUAGAGGAUGAUACUUUUCGAAGAGGAAGUUCCUUUUAUUAGGGACGCGGUACCUAACGAAUAAGCACCGGCUAACUCCGUGCCAGCCGCCGCGGUAAUAC
rnacentral:rRNA from 1 species